AGUGAACGCUGGCGGUAGGCCUAACACAUGCAAGUCGAGCGGAAGCACCGUAAGCGCUUGCCUUUUCAGGUGGCGACGGGCGGGUGCGUCACGCAAACAUCGGUAUCUACUUUUUCGUGGGUCAUAACGUAGGCCCACCUACCCCAAUACCGCAUACGACCCACGGGUGAGAGCAGUGGACCUUCCGACCUUGCCCGAUUGAAUGAGCCGAUGUCGGAUUAGCUAGUUGGCGGGGUAAAGACCCACCAAGGCGACGAUCCGUAGCUGGUCUGAGAGGAUGAUCAGCCACACUGGAACUGAGACACGGUCCAGACUCCUACGGGAGGCAGCAGUGGGGAAUAUUGGACAAUGGGCGCAAUCCUGAUCCAGCCAUACCGCGUGGGUGAAGAAGGUCUUCGGGUUGUAAAGCACUUUUGGUGGGAAAGAACAGCAGCAAGUUAAUACCUGGCUGUUAUGACGGUACCCACAGAAUAAGCACCGGCUAACUUCGUG
rnacentral:rRNA from 1 species